GUGUCAGCAGCCGCGGUAAUACGUAGGCAGCAAACGUUGUUCGGAAUUAUUGGGCGUAAAGAGUGUGUAGGCGGCUUUGUAAGUUUGGUGUGAAAUCUCCCGGCUUAACUGGGAGGGUGCGCCGAAUACUGCAAGGCUUGAGUACUGGAGAGGAUAGCGGAAUUCCUGGUGUAGCGGUGAAAUGCGUAGAUAUCAGGAGGAACACCGGCGGUGUAGACGGCUAUCUGGACAGUCACUGACGCUGAGACACGAAAGCGUGGGUAGCAAACAGGAUUAGAAACCCUCGUAGUCC
rnacentral:rRNA from 1 species